AUCAGUUUCCAAAUAAUAGCUACAAUCACAAGUUUGACAGAAUUCACUCCGCUCGCUGUUUGCAAACAUGAACUUGACACAUUGUUCUGGUCGAAAGCAGGAAUGCCAGAUUAUUUUUCUACACUGGAGACAAACAUUAGUAAAUGAAGCUACCAAAUCUUUAGUAGUUGAAACAUUGGUAAAAUGUACAAAUUUUUUGUACAUAUUACCAAAAUCCGGUAAAACUGAUGUCAGAUGUAAUGUACAUCCCUACCAGAGAUUCGUACAUUUUACUUCAUGCCAUUUGUAACCUUCAAUGUUUUCAUUCCUAGCGACUGUGAAGUGCGCACUUCGUAAUCGCCAUUUUUUUGUGGAAGCGAAGCAAUUCGGAGAUAUUCCGAAAUAUACUCAUUUUGGACAACGUUUCUUCUAUUCUACUACUGAUAGAAGCAUUUCCAUUUGCGAUCAAUCGUAAACGAACAUUUUACAACAGCCAUGAUUCGAUGCUAAUAUUUGGCGAUACAAACUAGGGAAAGGAAGAACCAAUAACGAUUCACCAUCGGUCCGUGCAAACGGUAUCAAAUGAGCGUAUCUUUUCGUCGACCAACGGCAGCGACCAGCGAAUCAACAAGUGCAGCUGAUUCCAGCACGAAUAGCUCUUCUGUUUCUUCACUGGAGCAUCGAAAAUCCCUAUCAGGCUCAGGUGCAGGCAAGAAUCAAUGAAGGAGGAGCAAGCUACGCUACCGCAAGUAUAGUCAUUUGCUCAUAAAAUUUACAAGAUGUAUCGAAACUCUCCAGGAAAAGUGUCGUCAUUCGUUUUUUCUACAAACUGAUAACCUCUGCGUGAUAAUGAUGUGUCAGGAAGAUCCAAUCAACUGCUUUUCUCAACCGGAGGAUGACAUGGAACAUGAAGAACGUCAGAACCGACUACGUGCUCUGUGCAAUCAUCAGGAUCUGUUCCAGGGGGAGAGUGUUGAAUUUGAUACUGGAAAGCAUCGACAAAAUCAAUGUCAUAUCGUCACUAGGUUUCAUGAUUUCCUCCUGGCUAGUGAUGAAAAAGUUGGGAGUCGAUAUCCGGAUAUCUGUUCCAACUACUAGCGGUUGUCAUCAAGGAAAACUCAGUUUGCUAACUCAAAUCAUUUUAAUUGGAUGAUUUUGUAUGUGUUUUGUUCACUGUGCGUUGGUAAUGGUCGGUAUGGUUGGUUGGUCGGUAAUCCUAAUAUCCUCGUUCAUCGUGUUGAGGAAUCUAGGGUGUACCAGAAAUGUUACUUUGAAAUUACUAUGGACCAUAACGGACAAACGUGCACAAACAUGACACCGCGUUUGCGAAUUAAUUGGGCCAAUACUGCUGAAUAUGUUGAGGAUGUAAAAAUGGGGCGAAAAUGACGUUGGUAAUAAUUUGCAUACUCAUGAUUCCGGACGUGACAAAACUAUUCAUCGCAAAAGGAAUGGAAUUGCACGCUAGAUCUCAGCGUCUCGGUGAUACGGUUUAUGUUCAAUGGAGAGCCAAUGCAUGUUUUCAUGUUUCUUUGUUUUUAAGAGGCUUUAAACUUUGCAGUUCAUUCGCCUCCAUAAACCCAAUGCAUGUUUGAUUUUAAUCUAACUUGAAUGUUUUUUUUUUCGUUGAUGAGCUGCUCGUCGAAGCUAAGUUGUCAAUUUUAUUUUGGUUUCCGCGUUUCUGUCUGCGAUGUUGAACCCUAAGAUGGAAGAAUUCGGCGAUAUGCUGGUCGAGAGCACUCACAACUUGUGAGGCAAAGAGCGAAUUCAACAAAGUUAAACAAAGACAACGGAAACCAUCAUGGCUCCCAUUCAGUUCCGUACAGCAUAUACGGCUAUGGCGACUAUCAGAAAGCUGUUGAUCUAUGGAUACAAUUCGGACCAACAAACUGGUGAGACGAAUGAGCCCCUUGCGGCGGAAGCAUUCAGACAGAACUUCGCAACCAUCAGAACGCACCUAGCGGAGAAGACGUAUGCUGUUAUGUCAAGAUAGACAUACUUUUAGUUUGAGGUACGGACUGUGGGACUGAUGAGGCAGGACUGCAAUUCCGAAACGAUGUUGGGGAAUGAUGAUCCAUCGUGUGCUUUUGAUGGCUACAAUAUAAGCAUGAGCACAAAUAUCGAAUCCGAUUGUUCAAUACGACCAAUCACGACCCCUCAAUCCAAUGUAGUCGUUCUGUUACAAGAAAACAAGCCCCAAAUUCCUACUGAAGACACAUUUCCACUGCCUCAUUAAAUGGGCAAGUAAACUACACCUGCGCAGGGUCGAAGAUUUCGGUAGGCGAUACCUGGUCGGAAACGUAAUCGUUUUCUUCUUAAAUAUCCUCGACAAGAUCAGCACGAGAGGAAUAAAUACGAACUAAGAGUACUGGGUACUGGUGUCAUCGACUUCCUGCUAAUCAGCGCCCCAUUCUCUAGAGACAGCGAUGCAGUAGAAGGAGUUAUUGCGACGAGAAUUAUUGUUGUUUUCAUAUUUUCUUUUUU